UUGAUACAUUUCAAUCGUAAUCAUUGACAUAUAUUGAAUAUAUGUGAUGUUUUCGACUUCUUUCUUUGCAUUUUAUGAUUCAAAAUUGACAUAUUUUGACAAAUAUUACAUGAUUCGAUCGUUUUUUGAAACUGGAUUGAAAUUAAUUUGAAGCCCUAAUUUUAUUUUUCAUAUUUUUUUGAAGGACAAUCACAAAUUAUUUUAGUUCUCAUGUUGGAUUUGGUUAUUUUUCUUCUUAAAAGGAAAUACAAGAAUUUUACAUCUGAGUUUCACACAUUUGGGGCGUGUCUAGGCGAAUUUGUUGAACAUAUAUAAUGUUUUGUACUUGUUUCUUCGAUUUUUGUGGUUCAUAAUGGACAUAUUUUAAAAAAAUAUUCCCGAUUUGAGGUUUUUUAAAACUAAUGUGAAUUUUUUGAACCCCUAAUUUUUUUUUUUUUUUUUUUUUUUUUCAUAAGUACUAGAACUUGCAGUGUUAUAAUGUUUAAUUUUCUAAUUAUAUUGUGCCUGAGAUUAGGUUGUGUAUACUGCACUUUGGUUCUUCUUCUAUAUAUGUACUAUACAGUUCAAUUGAGUUGCUCAAAUUAUGUAAUUAUCCAACCUUUUUUUGAAAAAACUGGAUGGCGGAAUCCAUCCCUCUUGCAGGAGCAAAUAUUAGGAUCGGUUGGUUGUGGAGUGUGUAGGAUCCUCUAAUGGUAGUUUACAGCGAUGGUGGUAAUGAUUUUUGCUGCAGAUUAGGUAGAUUGGUUAACAAUUCCCGAGUUUGUAGUUGGGUUUUUGGACAUGGAAUUAAUAUUCCAGAUCACUUGUCGGAAGAUUAUCCAUCGUCGCCGUCGAGUGUGCCGGAGUUUGGGUUACUUCAUCAAGGUCAACUUAAAAAAUGAUGCAUUGUCAGACGUCUGUUUUGUUGUCUGGAUUCAUGAUUGUGUUAUCCUAUUUGCGUGGUGCCUAAACUGGGAGUGGUUAAUUGGGUCUGAGUGAAUUUUCUAGUGGUUUGGAGGAGGGUGUAGAAUCAUGUGGGUCUGCUUAGUUGUGUCCCAAGCCUAGUCAAUCCUAAUGAGACUGUGAGGAUCGUUUUUUUUUUCCUCUAUUUUUUUUUCCGUUUAAUUUCGUGUUCGGGCCAUGUGGGGGCAUGGAUUGGGUCAAUUGCUUGGGAAUUUUUCCCGGCACUAUUCAUUUAUUCCAUUAGUGUCACAUUUAUCAUUUACAACAUUUUUGAGGCAUAUGUAUCAUUCAUGAAAUGUGUUGGCACUUUUGUUAGUGUGUAUAUUUGCAUUCAUUUAGGGCUAGUUUGGUAUCUGACGUGCUUUGGGUGUUUUUGUUGCAGGCCACUACAGUACCCAAAUUUCAGCCUAGAAUAUGUUUUGCUUGGACAUGUUUUGUUAUAAAUAGUGCUACAACAGAGAAAAAUUGGACCAAAAUUUGAAACACCUUUUAGGUGUUUUAAGUUGUUACAAAACUGUUUGGGCCCAAUCAACAACUGUAGUGGUGGAAGCAAUGUUGCUCAACUUAACUCAAACCUACUAUACAUAUAAAAACCUCAUUAUAACAAAUUAGGUCAUUUUUUAUCUAACAUUUCUCUCUCCUCUUUCAUUCAUUCUGGGAGGCGAUUCGAGUAACACGAAGCUGUGAUCCAUUCUUAGGUUGAUACAAGGUUGAUACAGAGUUGAGAUCUGCUGCUUUGAGUGAGUACCAUCACCGAUCUUUGUUAUUUUCUUGUUUUCUUCUACAAACAAGGCAUGUUUGAUAUAUUUCAGUUGUAAUCAUUGAAAUAUAAUGAAUAUAUAAGAUGUUUUCGACUUACUUCUUUGAUUUUUUUUUUUUUUUUUUUAAAAUUCUAAAUCGACAUAUUUUGAGAAAUAUUACAAGAUUCAAUUUUUUAAAAAAACUGGAUUGUUUUGAAACCAUAAUUUUAUUUUUCAUAUUUUUUUGAAGGACAACAACAAAUUAUUUUUGUUCUGAUGUUGGAUUUGGUUGGUUUUCUUCUUUAAAAGGAAAAACAAAAAUUUCCAUUCGGGUUUCACAUAGUUGGGGCAUGUCUAGCGAACUUGUUGAACAUAUGUGAUGUUUUUUACUUGUUUCUUCGAUUUUUGUGGUUCAUAAUUAUUAGUACCUGAGUUACUUUAAGGUUUGCUCUUUUAAUAUCAAAAGCAUGAUCAUUUUGAGGUUUGCUCAUUUAACGUCAAAAGCAUGAUCAUUGUUCACCUUUAUAAUGAACAAGGGUAGGAUGGUAAUUUCUAAGGUAUAUCAAUCAGUUACAAUGUUGUUGAUAAAGGCACAUUGUAUCAGAGAUUCAUAUCACAGGGCCAAAUUUAGUUUAAUUCUACUUCAGCAUAUGUAUUCUGGCCUCAUUUACUCACAGGGGUAUUUCUGUCUUUAUACAUGUGUAGUGAAAUAUAUAUAUUUUGGGGAAAUUGUGAAAUAUAUAUAUAUAUAUAUAUAUACAUAUAUAUAUAUAUAUAUAUAUUGUAUAUUGGCUAAUUUCGUAGUCAAAACAAGUUCGAUCGAAUUGUAAAAUUUUGGUUUAGAAUUUCAAGGUUGAAGAUCGGAUGCGGAUUUGAAGAAGUUCAAGUGUUCAUGGUUUACUACACUCCGGAAUGAUGAGAACAAUGCUUUAGGAAGGUAUAUGAGUGAGUGAGAACACUUUAGGGAGUUUAGAACAUUGAAGGAAACAGAGUUUUCACUUCUGUCCAUUGGGAACCGGUAGGAGAAUCUUUGAACCAGUACCAAAUCUUGGUUCACUGCAAAAUUCUUCACUACCCUCCUUGAACCGGUGCCAUAGUUGGGAACCGGUAGCUAAAGUGCGUCGGAAAGGCUUUUGACCUUCUUGAACCGAUACCAAGAUUUGGGAAUAGGUUCCAGAAGUCUUGACAGCAUCAGAAUUUCAGUUUCUUCUUUUGAUUGUUUCCUUUUUGAACUAAACUUCCUUCUAAGUCCUAUGCGCGAAAUUUCUAUAUUUUCAGAGGGAUUAGGACAUUCUAAACUCUAUAUAAAUCCUGAUAGUCAUGUAGGUUUAUACACGGUUUUUGCAUACAAAAUUCAGAUUUAUUCUUUGAGAGAUAUUUUUAUUCAGAAAAUCAAUCUGAUUUUAAUUUUAUUUUUGAGAGCACACACAUAAGCACAAGAGUGAUUUAGGAGUGUUGUUCUCUAUCUCAUCGAAAUUGAAGAUUUAGAAAUUCUGGAAAAGCAGAAUUCAUUCGUUCUUCGUCAAAUUCAGAUCUAGAAGAAAAGGGGUGAAACGAUCACACUUUGAAGGGGUCAAAAUAUUCAUGGAGUGUUGUUUGAUCUACCCGUAACUCUUCUAUAGAGAUCAAGUACCUCGAGAGCUGUUGGAUGAGGGAGCCGCAAAGCCAGGGAUUGUCAGUGAUUAGUUUUCGGUAGAAUGAUAGGGUGUGAGAAUGAAUCAAAGUUCGGUAUACUUUGUUUUAAACAUUGUGGAUCGUUUAUCUCAGGACUGCAUAGUCCAACGAGGUUUUUCAUGUUACAAUUGAUCUAUUCUACCAAUUGGGGUUUCCUCGCUAAAAAUCCUGGUGGCAUCUCGUAAACUCUAUUUACUUUACUUGCACUUUAUUUUUUGCUUUGUGGUUUGAUUUUUGUUUUAUUUUAGUAAAAUUAAAAUAAAUAAAAAUUGCAUAAAAGAGCAAGUUAAAUCUAUUCACCUCUUUAGGGUAUUAAUCCAUGUUAUAUUCCACAACCAUUCUGCUGCGCACCAACUCUCAACAAGUGGUAUCAAAGCCAUCCUCUAUACAUUGAGUUAAUCCUUGUGGAAUUUUUUUUUGAAAUAUAAAAUUAUUUUUGUUUUCAAAAAUUCAUGAUGGAAAAUCGUAUGAAUAAGGGUGAAUUGCAUCUUCUUUUUGAUGGUUUAAGUUUUGAUCUUGUUUUUAAUGGUUUAAGUUCUAAUGAGGAACUUUCUCGUUUAUCUAAAAGAUAUGAAAGACUCCUUAAAAAUAAGAAAUAUGUUUUUAGUACUUUUUUUGCUCAUGUUGAUAAUGAUACUGCUAAUAAUUCUUCUUUUUAUGUAGGAGAUUCUACCAAAUUUGGAACAUUAAACAAGGUUGGUUCUUAUAAUUCGGAUGAUCAAAAAAUUGAUGGAGAACCAAGUGAAAACAAUAUAUUAAAAAUCUUUGAGGCAAUGUUAAAGGCUAGUCAGAAGUAGUUUGAGGAACUGGAGCUGAUGAAAAAGGAGAAUGAUACCUUGAAGAUGGAGAAUAAGCAAAAACAAAAAUUGUUUGAGGAGAACAAAGUUGAAAUUCAGAAUCUUCAAGGUAAAGUAAAAAUUCUAGAGAGCAAGGUAAGUCAAGCUAAUUCUGCUAGAAAAUCUUUAAUUGCCAAAUUUAAUUUUCUUAAGCUUGAAUUGAAAAAGUCACAAGAAAAAUUAAUUGUUUUUAUUUCUAGGCAGAUUAAGCAUGAUAAGAUGAUUAGUGUUGGUAAGCAUGUAGAUGAUAAAACUGUAUUAGGUUUUAAUGAGGCUUCAUCUAGUAAAAAUGGUCAAAACUAUUUUUGUUAAACCCAUGAACUUAAAUGUGCCUAUUGGUAAGCCUAAACUUUUUGUUGAGCCAAUGCAUGCUAAGAAUAUGUCCAAAGUGCUUUAUUGUUCUUAUUGUGGUAGAACUGGACACAGUCAACACUAUUGUUAUAAAAAGAAAAAGGGAUAAUUCUUAUUUUAAUUUUCAUGAUUAUAAUUCCUUUGCACAAAAUAGGUUUCAUGCUAGAAAGCAAUGUAAUUGGAAUAAACCUAGAAGUUUUUGUGCUAAAAGCAAUCACAUAAGAAAAAGAAUGUUCUUGAUGUUCCUAAAAAAUCUCUUCAAACGUUGAAUGUGAAAGCUAUUUGGGUGAAAAAAGAGGAUUUGAAGUUGUCGAUGCCGAUAGAUGCUACGAAAUUUGUUUCCAAUAGGUCAUUGGGUGCAAAACCCCUGGAGUAAAUCCUAAAGAGGUUUUAUAGUCAUGGACUAUGCUUUGAUGAAUUUCCAUUGGACCAUAUCUUGUAGUUUAGGAUUUAGGUUGUUUUUCUUUCAUGAGAAAGUGAUGAUCAUGUUUUUCUUAUCAAUGCAUGAGUGAUAAUUAUUUCUCUUGAAUUAAUUAUUUUUGAAAGCAAAUUAGGGAAAAAUGUUUAUUUGAUGAAAAUAUUGUUAAUGUGUAAUCUAUAUGUUGAAAGACAAUUUACUUUGGUUAUUUUUUUUUAGAGAUGAGUCUCUUGAGUUCAUAUUUUUUAUGUGCACUAGUCCAACUCUGAGAAAAUUUAAUUGAAAAUCAUUGUAAAGUUGACUAGGUCAUAUUGCUCAUAAAAGAUAUAAAGGUUAUUAUUUAUUUUUUUUUUUUGAAAAAAAAAAUGUGUUUUUUUUUUUUAACAAAAAAUUGAUGAAAUUUCAGCAUAAAAAGAAAAGAAAAAAUCAAAAGAAUGCUGAAAAUAUUUGCUAAGGAAAAGGCUAUCUAUUGAGAAUAGUUCGAAAGCUCUUACUAGACUUUGAAGAGGAACUAAUUGAGUAAAAAGAAAUGAGGAGAUAAGUCGAAAUAGGGAAUUGCUAUCUACUUUUUAGAGUGAAAGCUGCAUUGCUUAGUAAAAUUUGCUCAAAAUAAUUUUAUCUGGAUGCUUUUCGAUCAAUAUGAUUUAGACAGUUGGUCAAUGUGAUUUGAUUGAAAUUUGAUGAGAUUGGAUUGCGCGCACACACACACGUGAACUUGUUAGGCAAAUUUCUAAAUCUUCAUAAAAAUUGCAAGUUGAAUUUCAUGUUGUGAUUGUAUACUUGAGAAUUGAUUUGAUUAAAUAAUUUACGAUGUCUAAAAAUUUCGUGUUUUUAAAUUCUCUUAAAUUCGUCAGAGUUUUUUGGAUCUCAUAUAUGCUUGAAAUUCAUGAAAAUUGCUAUCUCAUAAUUUUUGUUCAAAUAUUAGAAAAAUGAAGAAAAAAAAUUGAAAAAUAAAAAAAAUCUAAAAAGAUUUUCUUUUAGUUUUUUUUUGGAAUUUUCAUUUUGGAUUGGAUGGAGAUAUCAUGUUUGUGAUUUUGAGCAUGGUUGGUUCUAUUAAUCUUAUGGAAGUGUGCAUAUUUGAGAGGGAGAUUUUCUAGAAUUGAGGGUGAUAUAUAUAUAUAUAUAUAUUUACAUAUUGAUAUAUAUUAAUUGUUUAUCUUUCUUAAUUAAACUUCACGGGUAGUUUUGUAAAGUUAAUGUGCAGAUUACAGGUUGGAGAAUCUUUGAACUGGUGCUAAACCUUGGUUCAUAGCAAAAUUCUACAUUGCCCUUCUUGAAACGAUACUACAUUUGGGAACCGAUAGCCAAAGUGCGUCGAAAAGGUUUCUGACCUUUUUGAACCGGUACCAAGAUUAGGGAACUAGUUCCAGAAGUCCUGACAGCAUUAGAAUUUUAGUUUCCGGUUCUGAUUAUCCUUUUUGAACCAAACUUCCUUCCAAGUCCUAUGCACUAAAAUUUUUAUAUUUUCAGAGAUAUUAGGAAAGUCUAAACUCUAUAUAAACCCUGAUAGUCAUGUAGGCUUAUAUACGGCUUUUGCAUACAAAAUUCAGAUUUAUUAGAAAGCUAUCUUUAAGAGAGAUUUAUAUUCAGAAAAUCAAUUUGAUUUUUCUAAUUUUAUUUUUGAGAGUACACACAUAAACAAAAGAGUGAUUUAGGAGUGUUGUUCUCUAUCUCAUCAGAAUUGGAACAUAAUUGAAGAUUCAGAUAUUUCGGAAAAGCAUAAUUCAUUCUUUGUCAAAUUCAGAUUUAGAAGAAAAUGGGUGAAGCGAUCACACUUUAAAGGAGUCAAAGCAUUCGUGGAGUAUUGUUUGAUCUACUUGCAACUCUUCUACUGAGAUCAAGAGUAAGCCUAAGGUCGAGAGCUGUUGGACGGGGAAGUCGCAAAGUCAGGGAUUGUCAGCGAUUGGUUUUUAGUAGAACGAUAGGGUCUGAGACGGAGUCAAAGUUCGGUAUACUUUGCUUUAAACAUAGUGGAUCGUUUAUCUCAGGACUGCAUAGUCUAACGAGGUUUUUCCUGUUACAAUUGGGGUUUCCUCGCUAAAAAUUCUGGUGUCAUUUCUCAAACUCUAUUUACUUUACUUACACUUUAUUUUUGCUUUGUGGUUUGAUUUUAGUUUUAUUUUGGUAAAAUUAAAAUAAGUAAAAAUUGGAUAAAAGAGCAAGUUAAAUUUAUUCGCAUCUCUAGGUUAUUUAUCCAUAUUAUAUUCCACAACCAUUCUGUUGCGCACCAACUCUUAACAAGUGGUAUCAGAGCCGUUCUCUAUACAUUGAGUUAAUCCUUGUGGAAUUUUUUUUUGAAAUAUAAAAUUAUUUUUGUUUUCAAAAAUUCAUAAUGGAAAAUCGUAUGAGUAAGGGUGAAUUGGAUCUUCUUUUUGAUGGUUUAAGUUCUGAUAUUGUUUUUAAUGGUUUAAGUUUUGAUGAGGAACUUUCUCGUUUAUCUAAAAGAUAUGGAAGACUCCUUAAAAAUAGAAAGAAUAAAAAUUGUAGUAAAGGAGAUUUUUCUAAAUUCAAAGAUACAAAAAAUAUGAAAGAUACUUCUAGUGCUUUUCUUACUCAUGUUGAUAAUGAUAUUGCUAAUAAUUCUUCUUUAUUGUGUAGGAGAUUCUACCAAAUUUGGAACAUUAAGCAAGGUUGGUUCUUAUAAUUCGGAUGAUCAAAAAAUUGAUGGAGAACCUAGUGAAAACAAUACAUUGAAAAUCUUUGAGGAAAUGUUAAAGGUUAGUUAGAAGCAGUUUGAGGAACUGGAGCUGAUGAAAAAAGAGAAUGAUACCUUGAAGAAGGAGAAUAUGGAAAAACAAAAAUUGCUUGAGGAGAACAAAGUUGAAAUUCAGAAUCUUCAAGGUAAAGUAAAAAUUCUCGAGAGCAAGGUACUUUCCCAGAGAAACGGUUAAAAUCGGGAUUUUAUGAUGAAAAGACUGAUAUCGAAGCUUACAGAGUCGUUGCCGGUCAUUCAGAGCAAGCCAAGAGCUUAAAUGAUGAAGUUUGGAAGAAUUCAGGAUCCAAAGCUAGAGCUUAAGUCUUGAGGCUUGAGCCCUACAAGUAAAAGAAGAAAAAUCAGUAAGGCAUUAAAGCUCGAGCCUUGCACCUCCAGAGCUCGAGCCUUACCAUAGGGUGCUCGAGCCCUAACUAAGGGUACUCGAGCCUUGACCCUUAAGCUCGAACACAAGGCAUCGGAAUUUGAAGAGUUGAUUUAAUGAAAACCCAGCUCCCAGGGACCUCGUGCCAAACCUCAAGGAUCGAGCACCAUUACCCAAAGCUCGAGCCUUGAGUACCUAAAGCUCGAGCCCGGUACCUAGUGCUCGAGUCCAUGAAGCUUGGAUCGAGUAAUGUUAAAAGAGAUGAAGCCUAGAAAUAUUCACAUGUUGAAGAAAAAGACGCUUCAGAAAAUAGUUGAAGAAAUUUGGCUAAGUGUCAAAGUGAAGAUCGAGCACCACUUCUUGAAGCUCGAGCAACAACUCAAUGAAGCUCGAGCCUUGUUCCCAAAGCUCGAGCCCGAACCUCAAAGCUCUAGCUCUUGUACUUAAAGCUUGAUCCUUCCAUGACAUGUCAGAUUUAAGUUACGGGAUUGUUGAUCGAAUGCCCUAAUCCAUUAGUUUUGAUGAUAACAAAUCAGUUAAAGAAGUUUUAUACUAAUGGUUUAACUGAGUUUAAAUGCAAGGAAAUGAAUGCUUCGUUAUAGAAAAGAAGAAAGGAACUUCAUGUCAUCAUAUGGUCACUUAAAGCAUCAAGAGGCUGCAAAUGUUCUACAAAGUGUUCAUGAGCAUCUAAAGGCUUUAAGAAGAAGGGUAGCUAUGGGAAAGUGUGUCAGAGUAAACGAUGGAAUUAAUAAAAGCUCCAUCUCACUAUAAAUAUGCAUACAAAGUGUACUCAACAAAAUUCAAAGGGUCAAAAUAUGAUCUUAUCAAUCUAUAAUAGAAAAGGGCUUAAAAUAGCAAGAUCAAGCAAUUCAUGUCAACUGGUUUGAUGCAUGUGUCGACUGGUAUCUAGGCAGUAGCAAAUUUCAAGAUAAAGCUCAUUUACGUCGACUGGUUUGAUGCAUAUGUCGACAAGUAUCUAAGUAGUAGCAAAUGUCAAGAUGAAGCUCAUUUAUGUCGACUGAUUCAAAGCAUACAUCAACUGGUUCAGGAGGAAAAUGUCGACCGGUUUGCAGCAUACAUCAACCGGCUUGUAGAAUACAUCAAUUGGUUUAUGCCACAUGUCGACCGGUUUGGUCGCAGCUCUGCAGAUUCAAAUUUCAAACGGAUAUAAUUUCAUUUAAUGCUCCCAACCACCUGCAACAGCUAUAUUGAGUUCGAAUUUUCUACAAAUACAGAGGGUUGAUCUAGAGAAAAAUACAUACUACUUGAGAGAGCAUUCAAGAACAUCAUUCAAGUGCAUUCAAGAUCAUUCAAAGAGUCCCAUAUUCUGAUCUAAGCAUUUACUUCUCAUCUUUUUCUCUCAUAUCAGUUUAGAGACUUGAGCUUCAUUUAUUUCAUCCACUUACUCUAGUGUGAGAUUGAUUCUUGUAAUAUCUUCUAGAGAGAGAGAGAAAUAAUAUUGUAACUUUCAUUUAUAUCUCUACAAUCUUGUACGGGUUGAUGUGAUCCAAAUGAAAAGCCUAGGAGAAGGGUGUUCUCCUAGCAAGGAAAAGAAGCAAGGUCUAGCUUCAAUUGAAGGUUUGCUCUCCACCAUUAAGGAGAAGCUCUAGUGAUUUUGGAAAGUCUCAAGGGAGGACCUUAAGCCGAGGAGUAGGAGCUUCCGAACCUCGCUAAAUCGCUAAGUCACUGUUUGUAAUUUCCUAUCUCUAUCUCUUUUUACUUAUGCUUAUAUUGCUUGAAUAUUUCAAUUGUGUAUUGCAUAAUAAUUAUUUGGAAAUAAAUUUUAUAAAUUAAAAAAUUGGCCAUUGACUCUAUUCACUCCCCUUCUAGAGUCAAUUAGUGACUAACAAUUGGUAUUAGAGCCUAAUCUCUAGAAAAAGAUUUAAUCAUCUUAGAGAACAAUCAUAGCCAAUACAAUGUUUCAUCGAGAAGGUCAAUCUAACAAUAGACUUCUUUGGUUUGAUGGAAGUGACUACAACUAUUGGAAAAUCAAAAUGAGAGCAUUCCUGAGAGGCAUAGAUAUAGAUGUUUGGAAAUCCACCGAGCAAGGAGACCAUGUUCCAACCAAAAUAGUAAAUGGUGAAAAUGUUCUAAAAACCGAUAUUGAAUGGACCCUUAAUGACCGUAGGCUUGUUCAAUACAAUGUCAAGGCUAUCACUAAUCUCUAUUGUGCCUUAAGUAAAGACGAAUUCAAUAGAAUUUCGGAUUGCGAAACAGUCAAAGAAAUUUGGGAUAAACUUGAAGUUACCUAUGUAGGAACUAGUCAUGUUAAUAAAUCCAAAAUGAAUAUGCUCGUCCAUAAAUAUAAACUUUUUACCAUGAACAAUAAAGAAACUAUUAGUGAAAGGUACUUUUGUUUUAAAUGUAUUCUCGUUUUACUAACAUUAUGAAUCUUUUGAAGGCUUUUGGAAGGUCAUAUACAUCAUCCGACAAUGUGAGAAAAAUUCUUAGGUCUUUUCCUAAAAAUUGGGAAGCUAAGAAGACUGCCAUCCAAGAAACCAAAGAUCUCAACACACUUCCCAUAUAUGAACUCAUUGGUUCAUUAAUGGCUUAUGAGCUAGAAAUGAAUGAUAGAGAUGAAGACAAAGAAACUCAAAAGAAGGAUAUAGCUCUUCAAGCUACUACCAAAGAAGUCGCAAUUGAUAAGGCUCCUAAUGAUGAAGAAGAAGAAGAAAUUGCUCUUAUUACCAAAACCGUGAGAAGGGUCCUUCAAACGAAGAAGUACCAAAAGGGUAACAACUUCAAAAGAAAUAGUUCAUCUAGUGAGCAAGGAAAAAGAGAAGUGCCUACUUGUUUUCAUUGUGGAAAAUUGGGACAUUUCAAGUUCGAUUGCUAUACUUACAAAAAUGAAAAGGAAAGGAAAAAGAAAGGCAAAGCCAUAAGAGCUACAUGGGAGGAUGAUGAUUUAAAUGGAUCCGAAAGUGACGAUGAACUCAAUGAAUUAGUCAAUCUUUAUCUCAUGGCCGAUAAAGAUGAGGUAAAUUCUAAUCAUGACUCAUUUGAUUUGGAAACCACUUAUGAUGAAUUGGUUGAUGCUCAUAACUACUUGCUAGAUGAUUUUAAAGAAUUGCAUGAUGAAUUAGGCAAAAUGGUUCAAAAAUGUGCUAGUCUUAAAAGAAAAAAGUAUCUUAUCUUUCAAAACUUUGAAAAAUCUCAACUUGAAAAUCAAGCUUUGAAAAAGGAAAAAGAAUUAGCUAAAGAAUCGGCCUCAAUUGACUUAAUUUCUGAAAAUUAAUCAUUGAAGGUCAUUAUUGAGGACCGAACUAAGAUUUUAGCUAAAUUCACAAAAGGUAGAGAGAAUUUAAGUCUUAUACUUGGAAAGCAAAGAAAUGCAUAUGCUAAGGAUGGACUUGGAUAUGAUCCUCAUAACAAAGAUUCUUGUUUAUUGAAAAAGAAAAACCUUUGAACAACUAUUUUGUUAAAAGUACCUUUUUCAAUCCAAAAUGCAAUUAUUGUAAAAAGUUAGGACAUAAGAUCAAUCAUUGUCUUAUUAGGCCAUGUAUGACAAAAGAAAUUUGGGCUAGUAAAGGGACAUAUAUGCCUCUACCUAACUCUCAUGGACCCAAGAAAUUGUGGGUACCAAAAGAAGAUUACUUCAAUUCCUUUUAUAGGUUUGCUUGAAACCUCCAUAUUCAUCCAAGGACAAAUGGUUCCUUGAUAGUGGAUGCUCAAGACAUAUGACGGGAGAUCGAUUAAAAUUUCUCUCUAUCAAGUCUCACAAAGGAGGAAGUGUUACAUUUGGAGAUAAUUCAAAAGGCAAGGUCACCGGCAUCGGAACUAUUGGUACAAGAAUCAAGGUUGCGAUUCUCGUCAUGCUUGGAUGAUUGGUGGACUUGAAGAUUUCAAUUUCUUGUAAAGGUUGGCUUGAAAAGCCACUUGUAGCCCUAUUUGUAAAAAUAUGUAUAUUUGAAUUUAAACAUGUAAUGUGUAUACGAGUACGCUCUUUAUAAUGUAUUUGACAUGUAUGAGAUGAGGCC